GGCGCCAUGGGACAGUGGUCUACUCCGGAAGAUUAGAAUGAAUUGUAUCAUACUAACCCAUCUUCUCCGCUCUGCGGGCGCAGGUUCGAAUCCUGCUGGCGUCG